rnacentral:rRNA from 1 species
CCUACGGGCGGCUGCAGUGGGGAAUAUUGGACAAUGGGGGCAACCCUGAUCCAGCCAUGCCGCGUGUGUGAAGAAGGCCCUCGGGUUGUAAAGCACUUUCAGUGAGGAAGAACGCCUGGUGGUUAAUACCCAUCAGGAAAGACAUCACUCACAGAAGAAGCACCGGCUAACUCCGUGCCAGCAGCCGCGGUAAUACGGAGGGUGCGAGCGUUAAUCGGAAUUACUGGGCGUAAAGCGCGCGUAGGUGGCUUGAUAAGCCGGUUGUGAAAGCCCCGGGCUCAUCCUGGGAACGGCAUCCGGAACUGUCAAGCUAGAGUGCAGGAGAGGAAGGUAGAAUUCCCGGUGUAGCGGUGAAAUGCGUAGAGAUCGGGAGGAAUACCAGUGGCGAAGGCGGCCUUCUGGACUGACACUGACACUGAGGUGCGAAAGCGUGGGUAGCAAACAGGAUUAGAUACCCGUGUAGUC